UCAUUGUUCUCAUUUCCAAGACACGCACAUAUGCUAGGCGGUCUGUAGAUGGUAGCACAAUCAUUAACAGCACUCCGCCGAUCACGGAAUACAACGCUACCUGUUGCUAUCGCUACCGACGCUACGAUCGCUACUAGCUGUACAUAGCAGUACAUAGCACGGAUAUAAUAUCAGUUUGACGAGUUUGACUAAUGGAACGUUUCUAAAUGUUUCAGUGACUGUGUAGUUAUCACCACACUAUUGUAUUUCAUUCGUUUGUCCUUGUUAAUACAUCAUGCUUCGGCCUUAAAUGGCCAUGCUGAGGCCAUAUCUUUCACUCACCAGCCAUGGAAACCACACGCAAUAUAAUAGGUCAAUGGCAGCAUGACAACUGAAAUCUGCGUACACGAAGCUUAAUCUCUGAAUUGUGAAGAACGACACCAACAGAACCACGAUUUACAAUAUCGUUCAACAGAAUUACAUUCCACUUUACACGCAUGGCCUUAUGAGGCCGAAACUUAUUUCAGUCAUAAAAAGAAGUGAUUGGAAUAUGUCCACUAAUCUCUGACAGUAUGACAAUCGCGUAGCUUAUUUAGUAAUCCGUGCACGCUAGCAUUGAAACAGUCUGCGAAGGUUGCAAUAUUGAGUGUUGCCUAGCAAUGUGUGAUAAGUAGCAACCAUCAGCGUUAAGUUGCGUUGCGUAACAGUGCGUCUUAGUAUGUGUGAAGUGUAAAGGGUGUUGGAGUGAUUAUUUUCUGGGCAGAACUGUGGACAGUUUUCUGUAUGCUGUAUUGAAGAACCCAUAUGUUUACAGUGUCAUAAAACAGAAGUGAAAGAUUCCACUGUUUUAUUGAGUUAAAGCACAGAAAGAAAAGAUUGUGAAGUUCUUUAGACAGCUCUUCUUUGCUGGCAUCCAGUGAUUCUGGACAUAAUUCUUUUCCCCUUUCAAAAUAUGUUAAUGAGAUAAAAAGUCCAUAAAUAAUGGAGUUAAGUUCUGAUUGUGAGUCCUUACCGAUAAGAGUGAGAAAAUCCAGGAAAGAGAAAAAACACAAACGUAGACUCUCUGAUUCAGAAGAUGUUCAUGUUGUACAUGAUGGACAUAAUGGAAAACACCACAGACACAGAUGUCACCAUCAUAAUCAUCACAGACAUGGCCACAGCCACAGCAGUAGAGUGAAGGAAGGAAGGGUGCAUAAACGCACGUGUCCGAAACAUAAAAUGUCACUGGAAGCUGUGAAAGUAAAACAAGAGCCCAUGUAUGAGGAUAAUGGCAGAAUAAGACAGCCACAUUCAUCACAUAUGAGAAUGGAAAGAAGAAGAGCCACAUCAGAAGAUGGCCUUGAAGAUCAGGUAGCAAGAGGUGAAGGCAGGCGGGCUGGGAGAAGUGAAGAUCGGGAAGGCAGAGAUGGUAGAAGCACUAGAAAUGGAAGAAGUGUACUUGAAAGAAAGAGGAACCGAUGGGGGAAUGAAGAAGAGAAUUCUACAAGUACAAGUCGUCCAAUUAAGCAGGAGCCAAAUAUUGAAGGAGAAGGUCUGUAUGAAUGGGGAAAGAAACCUGAUCCUUCAAAAAAGUUUCUUCCAGGAGAAAAGGAUAAACCAAAUUUUGGCUUGUCAGGAAAAUUAGCAGAAGACACAAAUACUGUCAAUGGUGUUGUUAUCAAGUACAGUCAGCCUCCAGAAGCUCGUAAACCUAAAAGGCGUUGGAGGUUCUACCCAUUCAAAGGUGAUAAAGGUCUUCCAACAUUGUACAUACACAGACAGAGUGCGUACCUUAUAGGCAGAGACCGAAAGGUAGCAGAUAUUCCUGUAGAUCAUCCAUCAUGCUCAAAACAACAUGCUGCUCUGCAGUACCGUCUGGUGCCAUUCAAACGUGAGGAUGGAACCAUGGGUAAAAGAGUGAGGCCUUAUGUCAUUGACCUUGAGUCAUCAAAUGGAACAUAUGUGAAUAAUGUGAAAAUUGAACCCAAGACAUAUGUAGAAUUGCUAGAGAAAGAUGUACUUAAGUUUGGUUACAGUUCUCGUGAGUAUGUCCUACUGCAUGAACAGAGCAAAGAUGAACAGUUGGAUGAUGAUGUUGCAGUGCAAGAGACUCCAGAACGUGUGUGCACAAACUAGUGGCAAUUUUGUAUGCAGAAGUGUGGUGCAAAAUAAAUUAACUGGAAACAUAAAAGAUUUUAAGUCGUUUGCUGGUUCUGUGAUGGCAAGUGACUAUAGGAAAUGAGAGCCACAGUACAGCCCAGGGGUUGACUCAUCCUCUAACCACCUCUUCCUGAUGGUAAACAGUGGCCGGCACAUCAUGUUGACAACCUCACAACCACAUGAGCCAUUUGUCUAGAAAAUGUGGGAGCCUCGAUGUGUCACAACCCAAUGGGCCUCCAUUGCCUGUUACAGGGACAGCUUUACCUUGGACUGUAAAACUUCUUUCAGAAUAUUUAAACUUGUAUGUAUAUUCAUGGUGUUGAGUUUAGUGUUCACUUUGAAUAAAAAUACAGACAUAUUUAACAUUUUGCUGUGGAAGAUAUUUUUUUACUUGCAAUCAUGUUCUUAUUUGAUGUUGAAGAUAUUUUUUUUACACACACAUGCAUACAUGUCAUUUUCUAAUGUAUAAUUUUUGCCAGGCAUUCAUUUGCAUUGUAUAUUGAAGUUAAUCCAU